UUCGGGCUGGCUGGUACGUCAGGAUAUCACAAUCCCCGGGGCCUUAAUGAUCCUUAAGGGAGCUGUUCCUGCCUCGGCUCGUGGGCCAAGGCACACGGCGCCCACCUACUUUGUAGGUUCCCGGGAUCGUAAAAACGUCCAACGGCCAAGCUGGCUCGAAC
rnacentral:other from 1 species